rnacentral:tRNA from 9 species
GUGAUUGUAGCUCAGUUGGUUAGAGCGUCGGAUUGUGGUUCCGAAGGUCGGGGGUUCGAGACCCCUCAUUCACCC